UACGUAGGUGGCAAGCGUUGUCCGGAUUUAUUGGGUUUAAAGGGUGCGUAGGCGGUUGUAUAAGUCAGUGCUGAAAUAUCCCGGCUUAACCGGGAGGGUGGCAUUGAUACUGUACGACUCGAGUAAAGUUGAGGUUGGCGGAAUUGACGGUGUAGCGGUGAAAUGCUUAGAUAUCGUCAAGAACACCGAUUGCGAAGGCAGCUAACUAAGCUUUAACUGACGCUGAGGCACGAAAGUGUGGGGAUCAAACAGG
rnacentral:rRNA from 1 species